rnacentral:rRNA from 1 species
GCACUUCGGGAUAAGCUUGGGAAACUGGGUCUAAUACCGGAUAGGACCACGGUCUGCAUGGAUUGUGGUGGAAAGCUUUUGCGGUGUGGGAUGGGCCCGCGGCCUAUCAGCUUGUUGGUGGGGUGAUGGCCUACCAAGGCGACGACGGGUAGCCGGCCUGAGAGGGUGUCCGGCCACACUGGGACUGAGAUACGGCCCAGACUCCUACGGGAGGCAGCAGUGGGGAAUAUUGCACAAUGGGCGCAAGCCUGAUGCAGCGACGCCGCGUGAGGGAUGACGGCCUUCGGGUUGUAAACCUCUUUCAGUGCCGACGAAGCGUAAGUGACGGUAGGCAUAGAAGAAGCACCGGCCAACUACGUGCCAGCAGCCGCGGUAAUACGUAGGGUGCGAGCGUUGUCCGGAAUUACUGGGCGUAGAGAGCUCGUAGGUGGUUUGUCGCGUUGUUCGUGAAAACUCACAGCUCAACUGUGGGCGUGCGGGCGAUACGGGCAGACUGGAGUACUGCAGGGGAGACUGGAAUUCCUGGUGUAGCGGUGGAAUGCGCAGAUAUCAGGAGGAACACCGGUGGCGAAGGCGGGUCUCUGGGCAGUAACUGACGCUGAGGAGCGAAAGCGUGGGGAGCGAACAGGAUUAGAUACCCUGGUAGUCCACGCCGUAAACGGUGGGUACUAGGUGUGGGUUUCCUU